rnacentral:rRNA from 1 species
UACAGAGGGUGCGAGCGUUGUCCGGAAUCACUGGGCGUAAAGGGCGCGUAGGCGGCCUGCUAAGUAGAGGGUUAAAUCCUGCGGCUCAACCGCAGGGCUGCCUUCUAAACUGUCAGGCUGGAGCACGGUAGAGGCAGAUGGAAUUCCCGGUGUAGCGGUGGAAUGCGUAGAGAUCGGGAAGAACACCAGUGGCGAAGGCGGUCUGCUGGGCCGUUGCUGACGCUGAGGCGCGACAGCGUGGGGAGCAAACAGG